rnacentral:rRNA from 1 species
AUGAACGCUAGCGACAGGCUAACACAUGCAAGUCGAGGGGUAACAGGGUAGCAAUACCGCUGACGACCGGCGCACGGGUGAGUAACGCGUAUGCAACCUGCCUAGUAACUGGGGAGUAGCUCCCUGAAAGGGGAAUUAACACCGCAUAACACUAUUGAUUCGCAUGGAUUAGUAGUUAAAUGUAGCGAUACAGGUUAUAGAUGGGCAUGCGUGACAUUAGCUAGUUGGUGAGGUAACGGCUCACCAAGGCUACGAUGUCUAGGGGUUCUGAGAGGAAGGUCCCCCCACACUGGUACUGAGACACGGACCAGACUCCUACGGGAGGCAGCAGUGAGGAAUAUUGGUCAAUGGGCGCAAGCCUGAACCAGCCAUGUCGCGUGCAGGAAGAACCUGCCCUAUGGGUUGUAAACUGCUUUUAUAGUAGAAGAAACACAUCUACGUGUAGAUGUCUGCCAGUAUACUAUGAAUAAGCAUCGGCUAACUCCGUGCCAGCCGCCGC